UCACGUCUUACGACGGCAGUUUCACUAGAGUUCCCAGCGUUACCUGAUGGCAACUAGUGAUGGGGGUUGCGCUCGUUGCGGGACUUAACCCAACAUGUCACCACACGAGCUGACGACAGCCAUGCAGCACCUGUCUCUGUGCGGUAUUGCUACCGAAGCCCUAUCUCUAGGGUUGUCACAGGAUGUCAAAUCCAGGUAAGGUUCUUCGCGUUGCUUCGAAUUAAACCACAUGAUCCACCGCUUGUGCGGGCCCCCGUCAAUUCCUUUGAGUUUUAGCCUUGCGGCCGUACUCCCCAGGCGGGAUGCUUCCUGCGUUCGCGCCGGCACGGGGGGGGUCGAUACCCCCCACACCUAGCAUCCACCGUUUACGGCGUGGACUAC
rnacentral:misc_RNA from 1 species